CGGCGACGACCAACCGACGGCCCCUUCUCGUCAGCCGCCCCCUGCCGGCCGCCGGCGAACCACGCCAGCCGACCUGAUUAAUAUGCAUGAUGACUGAAGUGUGGCGACUGAUUCCCUUGCGGAUGCUCGAUGUGAAGGCAGAGUAAUCUGUUAUGCUGGAGG